AGAUCGUUUUGGGGGCAAUUCCGAAGUAGACCCUUGUAGCGCUCCCAUGCUUCAAACAGCGACUCCCCCAUUUGCUGUUCAAAAUUAGCAAUGACCUUUUUGGGCUU